rnacentral:rRNA from 1 species
UACGGAUGAUGCGAGCGUUAUCCGGAUUUAUUGGGUUUAAAGGGUGCGUAGGCGGAUUGAUAAGUCAGUGGUGAAAUUCUACAGCUUAACUGUAGACUUGCCGUUGAUACUGGGGAGCUAGGAUUUGGUUGCUGUGGGUGGAAUGUGUGGUGUAGCGGUGAAAUGCUUAGAGAUCACACAGAAUAUCGAUUGCGAAGGCAGCUCACAAAGCCAAGAUUGACGCUGAGGCACGAAAGUGUGGGGAUCAAACA